ensembl:ncRNA F01G12.19 ncRNA
CCGGGCGUCGUGGCGGGCGUCUGUAAGCUAGCAUAUUGGCGGUAGAAAGUGUGAAGUUUACGACAUGCUUUCGAUUCUGAAUCAUCCGAUUCGAAAUC